UUCGUACCCAAGAAGCACAAACCAUUUCUCUCUGCCAUAUUUCUCAAAGUCUCUCUCUGUCUCUCUGUCAUAUUUCUCAAUGCGAAUUCCUUUUCUUCUUCUUCUUCUUCCUUUUUUUGCGAUUUUUCGAUGAUUUCUUAGAAUCUUGGGAAGAAAUUGUACUAAAGAUAUUCAAAAAAGAAAAAAUCCACAGGUAAAAACCCUAAAAAUCGCCGUCCUCUUUCCGGCCAUUUUACCCAAAACCACCGUCCAUCCUCAAUCCCACGUUUUAAGCCUCACCCCUUUCUGUUUUCUCUAUUCAUGUUCCGAUUCUCACCCAAAAAAACAGAGGAAAGAAUAAGGGGGGAAAGAUCAGCAGAAAGGGAGUGAAGGGUUAUCUUCUUUCACUAAUCUACUAAAUCUGAAGGGUUUCUGCAGCCUCGAUGAAGGAGAGACGGUGAAGUGCGUUCAAGAUUCACCGCCUCUGAUUCUGCCCCUACGCAAGGCAGCACCCUUGGGGAAAAAACAGCGACUGAGGUACAACGGAGGUAGUAGGUGGGCUCAAUGCAGACAAAUCCAAGAAAGGGAAACCCCACUGAUCUCCAGUAGAUUGCCCAGGCUGCAAAUGCUUCUGCCCAAUGGAGUUUUCUUUAGAUGUGAAUUCAGUGUGUUCAAUGAGUUCUUCAAGAAGAUUAAAGGUGAAGCUGACAGGAACUUGGAAUUUCAACAAUCCAUGAGGGAGAUUAAGGAGAAAGCAGAGGACUUGAAAGGGGUGAAUGAGGAUCUGAAAGUUGGCAGACACUUCCAAUGUGAGCUCUGAGAUGGUGAAAUGGUGAAAUGCAGAACAAAAGCAGACUAUUGAGCAGCUGUACAAGCAUGUAGAUGGUGUUUGGUCGCAGGCUCAAGAAAAACAAAAAAGUUGCGAUUCACCCAUAGCCCAGCUCCUUGUCAUGGUUCGACUAAGGACAACGAGCCCAAAUGGAAGGCUUCUGCCACCGCCCCCCCCAGUUGUUGCUUCUGCUACCGUCUGUCGAGUAGACCUCGACACCAUCCCACAUUUUAGGAACAUGUUUUCUUUCUUUUUAUUAAUCAUUUCCUUAUUUCUGUGGGUCUGCAUGCAUACACUGAGGACAAUAUAUGUGCUGGGUGUGGGGAAGGUAUGUUGUGCUUUCUGCUUGUGAAGUUGUGAUUGAUUUUUUGGGAUGUGGUUGGAUAGCAUUAUACAACAAUUCUUGCAAAAUUGGUUGUGUUGUUGAAAAUUUGAAUUAAUGUGUUGGAAUAUGGAUGUGUGGGGAUUGAAAAUGUUUAAUUGGGGUUGACAAUUUUAAUUGAACCCCGAAACUUGUGAAGGAAGUUAGUAUGUCUUGAGAAAAAUAUGUGAAUUAUGCUGCAGUAGAUGUUGAAUUUUCAGAUUGUUGUCUUGUGAUAUCCCUUACAUUAAUAGAAUCUUUUGGUAUAAGUUGAGAUAAGUAGGAGAAACUAGCACUAGUGGCAUAUUAAAAAAAAAAUGUGUGAAGUGUGUUCCAUUGACUGCAUCAAAUGAACGAUGUUCAAGAAUCAACACAAAAGCCCUUUGUGUGAGCUUUUGAACCAAAGCACUACCAUUUAAACAGUGCUUCUACAUUUCUUUUGAUUGAGGGCAUCAAACUUAGUAUGUUCAUUCUAGAACUUGCUUGUGUAAUACAUUUUGAGACCACAAUCUUCUAAGAUUGGUGUAUGAAAGUGAUAAGGGCACUUAGGAGUAACCCAUUGACCUGAAAAUAACCUACCUUGAAUUCAGCCAUAGAAACAUCAUUUGAGCCUUGGCUUUUCUUUUCUUGAUUAAACCACAUUAUAAGCUGAAUUAUCCCCUUCUUGGUUAUUUCCUGAAGUGAUUUUUGAACCUAUUCGAGGGGAUGAUGUUGGCUUGGUUGCUUGUGAAUCGACAUGGAAAUGAGUGAAUUAAAUGAUUCAAGUUGUAUACUGGGGAUGCAUUGCUAGCCCCAAGGAAAAUAAAUAAAAGAGGAGCGAAGAGGAAAUGAAAAAAAAAAAAGAAGAAGAAAAAGAAGGAAAAAAAGUAGAAAACUGAUGAAACAAAAAAGAAAAAAAAGAAGACAAAAAGAAAAAAUUCUGAAAAAGAAAGAGAUUCAGAAAUGGAAAACAAAACAAUUUGACGAGUUUGAUUGUUCAAAGCGCUUGAAUCGAGUUGAAGGAGAAUGAGCUUUGAAG